rnacentral:tRNA from 2 species
UAACCAACAGGAACUGCUAACUCUUGUGUCUGAGUCUAAAUCCUCAGUCUCCUUA